GAAAUGCGAUAAGUAAUGUGAAUUGCAGAAUUCAGUGAAUCAUCGAAUCUUUGAACGCACAUUGCGCUCGCCAGUAUUCUGGCGAGCAUGCCUGUUCGAGCGUCAUUUCAACCAUCAAGCUCUGCUUGCGUUGGGGAUCCGCGGCUGCCCGCGGUCCCUCAAAAACAGUGGCGGGCUGGCUAGUCACACCGAGCGUAGUAACUCUACAUCGCUAUGGUCGUGCGGCGGGUUCUUGCCGUAAAACCCCCAAUUUCUAAGGUUGACCUCGGAUCAGGUAGGAAUACCCGCUGAACUUAAGC
rnacentral:misc_RNA from 1 species